GGGCGUAUAGCUCAGUUGGUAGAGCGAUGGUCUCCAAAGCCAUAUGUCAUCGGUUCGAUUCCGAUUGCGCCUG
rnacentral:tRNA from 1 species